UCAGUAACGCGCCGAGCGUCGUUCUGGGAGGGUGGUGCUCUUUUUCCGCUGAUUGCGCUCACUUGGCGCUAAUCAAAUCGAACCAAAGCGGAGCACUCGCGUGGCACCUCAUCGCUCGAGUAUCUGCAGCGCGUGUUUUAAUUUAAUACUGUCUACUUGACUCGACCUAUCGGUGAACGAGCGUGGAGUUGCUACAUAAAUAUUAAAAGUGUUAAUUGUAAAAGAGAACGCGUCGUCAUGGGUACCGUGUGUUGUGCCCCGCGGGUGUAGAGUGCGAAUUGCGCGCAACGGACGAGGGGGAUAAAGAAAGGGGUUUAGGCAAGCGACUGAGAAAAGACUGAGGAUACAGAGCGUGUUGGCUAGAGACCGCGAGGCGAAGUCUCGUCGUGGAGAAACACGAGGGAGAAACGAAGCCUUGAAGGGACGGGAAAGAUAAAGGUGCAUGGAGAGACGAUAAUGCGGAGCCGUUGCUUCCGUCUUCAGCGACAGGACGUUCGGAUCCGCUCCUAAUCGAGCGAGAAGAGAUUUAACGGUCAGAAAUGAUGCGAAGAAAAACAUUUAUCUUUGUAUUAGGAAUAUGCAUAGGCACUUCGCUGCUACUCUUCGAUAAUGCGGUGGCGGAAGUUACGGAAGCGUCGGUUGCAUCAGAGAAAUCUGAGUCCCAAAAAGCGUCGACUCCCCAAGGAUCUACGACAAUCUUAGCAAAAGCCUUCUCGAUUUAUCAAAAUCGAUCGUUUACAGAAAACGAUGGAAGAUAUACCGAAUUGACGAAUCGGAAAACUCAUGACGCGGAAAAUAGAUCACACGACAGUAUUAUCGAUAAUGCAAAUCAAGAUGAAAAGAAAAAUAUACUGACACACGAGAAUUCAAACGCGAGAAAAACAAGCGACGAAACAGGUGAAUCUGAAAAUUCAUCAUCGGAUGGAAGCAAGAAACCGAGAUACGGAGAAAUUGCUGUUGAAAGCUCCGGAAAAAGCACCAGUACGAAAGUUGUCUCCGAAGAUCUUCUCAGACUUUCCCGGAAGAAUGAAUUGACUUCGACCGCGAAACCAGCUUUCGAUGAUUUGAAGCAGGACAGUAAAAACCUAAAGAAUGUCUCUCUCCAAGAAUCCUUCAACCAUGAAAAAAUAUCCGAUACGAUGAAGACCACAUCUUCAAAUACAAAAGAAAAUAUUGUCAACGAAAAAUUAAUCGCAAACAUAGAGAUAUCAGAAUCUAAAGAGGUAAAGAAGGAGCCUUCCGUCAAAUAUGAAGAGAAGAAUAACGUAACUGUGGACAAACAAGACAUACCGACCUUCAAAUCCAUUGCAAAUUUACUUUCGACAACCUCGAAAUCGAUAUUUGAUGACGCUGUUAAAUCUGACGAAAAAAAGGAUAAAAUGAUAAAACUUGAUCAUAAGGAAAUUGUUUCAAGAAAGGACAAAAAUACAAUUUUAACUGACUUAGAGGAAGAAGUAGAGGAUCGGGAAUCAAUAACGAUGCGCGGCAAAAAAUCCUCAGAACUGAAAAAAAAUGUUACUGUGAUCGAUCUAAGAACGACAGCAUCUGAAGCGUUCGAUCUCAAGAAGACCGAUGAGAAGGAACACGAAGAAAGUGUUUCAUUAGUUAAUGACACGCAUGUAAAUCAUUUUUACAAGACUGUAACGGAAAAAGAUUUCAAAACUAGCCCGGAAAAUCGUUCGAUUGACGCGAAUGAAUCGCGUAAGAAAGGUGUUCCGAAGGAAGAAGUGGAAAUAGUUAAGAACGUGACUGACCUGUCGAUAGGACUAAGGAUUAUAACUACGAACGAUACUACGAAAAACGAUUCUUUUAAUCUAAGUAAUCAGGAAGCUUAUAUGAAGAAGAAAGGGGAGAUUAGCGCGAAAGAUGAAGAUAGUUCUGAACAAAACGUGGACUUCUCUACUUCUAAUACAACUAUUAAGAGGAUAGAUAGUGUAAAAGAAUGGAAAUCGUUAGGAGAUCCCGAGAGUCAGGUGAAGUUGCUUGAAACAACUCAAAGUGUACGACUUGAAGAACGUAUAUCAUCCAUCCUAGAAACCACUCCUAGUCUAGUUCCGCAAGGCAGAACUAUCGGAUUUUCCGGAGCUAACAAGUUUCCGAAUAACGAGGUGAAAACUACAGCCUCUAUGAGGACUGAUGGGGAAACAUUGAUCACUCAGAGCUUGCAAAGCAGCACGCCAAAACCUUAUCCGUACCUAAAAUCCAGUAGAGUAUUAUUCCAGAACCCAAUAACAGAGGCCAAUUUAAAAUUGAAAAAGGAAGACGGCGAUGUUAUGGAAGAAUCUUCCACUUACGAAAAUACGAGAAGAGGCGAAUCCGAGAAGAAGCUCGUUGUCACAGAAUCUUCAGUUGUAAUUGAGAAUAGUAUUCAACAGCACAAGCCGAACAAGAAAAACGAGUCCACGAAUUCUACGACAAAGAAUUUCUCCUCUUUGAUGCCAGUGACGGCAAUCUCGAGUGUUUUGGCUAAAGUUGAACCAAUGAACGAAACUUUUCCGGAAGGAUUUAAUGGCAGCACAAAAGCCAUGGAAAUGAAACGGUCGAAGUCAAACGAAAAUGACACGUCAGGUGUGAAAGAGGAGGAGAAAGUGAUUGUAAGCAGAGGCUACGACGAAGGCUACGACGUGACUGGAAAUGGAAUAACGGAAGUGAGCCUGACUCCGGAUGGCAAAGAAGUGAAAUCACGUUUCAGCGGAACAACGGAAUUGUCAACGUUACGUUCCACAGAAACACAUACAUCUAAGACGGGAUCUCUGAAUACUGAUGUCCAGACAGAACCGGAAGAAGCUAUGAUGAUUCGUUCAACAUUUGUCGUUACCGAAUCCACAAGUGUCAUUCCCUUGGACAAAAAUGCGACGACAGAAGCGAGUAAGUCCAAAACUUUGAUGACAGCAGCGGAAGUCAAUACUAUCGCCACAAUGUUUCCUGAGAAUUCUACGAAAUCAGCACCGAAAAUGAACGUCACGCUGCGAGCUUCUUCGAGUGUUAAUUAUACCACUGAAUCUCCUCCUUUUGUCACUUUAAAUCCCGACGAAUCCCCAAUUCCGACGACUACAUCCAUUGAAUUUGAGAUUGUUAGUCUUACGGAAGCGAUCUCUUCGGAAAAAAAUAACGUGACCGAGAAGAGUAUCGAAGGGCAAACUUUUGAGGAACAAACGAUACCUUAUAGAACAACGACAAUCCAAAAUUCGUCCGCGACGGACAAUUCGACGGAGAACGUGAUUAUUGAAAUGAAACCAGAGGAAUUUACCGAACUUCCUGUGACGACUGAAGAUGGAACUCCAACGACGGAUCAAGUGUCGGAUAUGCACCACAACGAAACUGUCAGAGAUCCCACAAUUACCCAGACCACUACUGAGAGUCAAAAUAAUCGAAUGGAGAUGAACGAAGUUACUAUAAGCGUCGAUUUUACCAGCGCCGCUGCCGGCAAUGACACGAGAACCUCCGGCGUUACCGAAAAUCCUUCAAAAUCUAAGAAUUCAAGUUUUGAUGCGAACAUCAUCGAGACGUCCGCCUCAGGCGCAACGGAACUUCCACCGAAUACAAGCGUCAAGACAACGAUAAAUGUCACAAAGGGCCCUUCGGCUACGAGUACUUUGGAGCCAACAUUCUGGAGUACAACGAGUUUCACGGAAUCUCCCGAGGAAGAGAUAACAGAAAAUAUUCAAACUUUAUCGCCGGAUGAGAUCACGUCAUUAGUUAAAAUAAUCACCAAAGAUACCUUACACGAGGUCUGUCCUCAGUUAUCGAAUCUAAGGAAAGCGCUCGCGGAUUUCCUCAGGGAUAGAUUGAACAAGCCCGUACAGCCAAAACAAAUUGUGAUUCAUCAAAACCCUUGCCAGGAGCAGAAUGUGUCACCGACAUCCACAGACGUUUCUCUAAUCACUCUCGUGAUUUACGUUAUCGAUGAGGACGGCAAGUUUGACGCCGCCAUGACGAAGAUUCUAAGUUAUUACAAGGUGUCUCCCAACUUCCCAGUGAGAAUACACAAGAUUAUCCUGGUUUCGGAAACGGACUCCGGAAACGCAAUAGCGGUCAUCGUGGUCUCUUCUGUAGCCUUUAUUUGCUUACUUCUAUUAGCUGGCCUUCUGUUCAUAAUGAGAAAGAGGCAAACGAGAUUCAAUUACGGAGAACGGUGCAGGCCAGUAUCCUUGGACGCCUACAGUCUCGACAGUGUUUCGGCGUACAAUAGCGUAAGACGCAAAGGUGCGGUAAGAUCCUCCAAGAGAAGUUACGGCAAUCCGACUUUUGAAGAUUCGCGGUUACGUGUUACGCAAGUAUAGAUCUAAAUUGAUUGUUCAGGUAAAAGAGCAAUAAUAUCUGUGUCCAAAGUAAAAUGGUAGCAAUAUAUUAACAAUUUGGUUUAGUAGAUUGGAUCGACACAUUACAAGCGCCAUUCCCUCCCAUCCUCUCAACUUUGCCGGGCUUUCAUCUUUCUGUAACGACGUUAACGCAAUCAACG
rnacentral:misc_RNA from 1 species